rnacentral:lncRNA from 1 species
CUCUCCUCUUCCUGCAACCUCUUCUCCUCUUUCCUUCCUCCUCUCUUUGGAAUUAAGUGUGCAAAAGGUGUAUUGGUGUCUAAUAUUGUGAACGGAAAAGAAAGGGAAGGAUGGAGGGGGGAUCCUUGAGACUCAAGCAGAGCUGAUUGUCUCCUCUGCAUCUUCUCAGGAGCUCACAGGCUUCCUGCUCAUUGUACUCAAGGGAGAGCAGGAAAGAGCAGGGUGCUGUCUGUCUGUCUGUGGUUGAUCUGAGGGUCUAGUGCUGAGGGAGAGAAACUUGUCACAGAGCCUGGCACUUUCCAGAAGAAUUCCCUUAAAUCCCUGCCCCCAACUCCAACUCUAACUUCAGCCAGAGAGAGAGGAGAGAGAGAGAGGACAGAGAGAGGAGAGAGAGAGAGCCUGUUCUGGAGUCGCAUUUCCAGACUGACCUCUGCCUUUUCCACACACAUUCUGGCACUCACCUGCGGCAGUCAGGCUUUGAGCCAGGCUCGGGAGACUCCACUUCGUAGCCUCACAUUCAGCCCUACACCCCGUGGGCCUUGGGCCAGGCAACCAGAGUCACUUUCCAGGCACUGGGGGAGGCUGCACAAUAAGGAAGAGCUAAACAGGCUGAGGAAGCUGAGACAUAGAGAAGACAACAAAUUUUCUGGAGUUCUCACAGUUGGGCUAUGGAAGAAGAAAGAAUUCAAAACCAGAUUGGGUGGCUCCAGAGUUCUGAAUUGAUCUCCCUAGGAGAAUUUUAUCCCUCUUCAUCCUUCUUGGACACUACAGUCAAGAAGGACUGACCACCCUGCUACAAUAGAUUGGAGAAUCCCUCAGAUCAGCAGGCCUGAGUAAAACCUCACUGCCAUCAAAGCACCAAAAAUGUGGGCAAAGAUAGCUUGGACUCUACCAGACCAUCUGCCAGCUGACACCAUUGAGUAACAUCCAUUGAUAUUGUGAGGAAG